GAUGAACGCUGGCGGCAUGCCUAAUACAUGCAAGUCGAACGAGAUUAGAACCUUCGGGUUCUAUGAGAGUGGCGAACGGGUGAGUAACACGUUGGAAUCUGCCCUGAAGUGGGGAAUAAUUCAUCGAAAGGUGGACUAAUACCGCAUAUGAUGGAAACAUCAAAGACUAUAUGUCGCUUCAGGAGGAGCCUGCGUAUGAUUAGCUAGUUGGUAGGGUAAAGGCCUACCAAGGCUACGAUCAUUAGCUGGUCUGAGAGGAUGAUCAGCCACACUGGGACUGAGAUACGGCCCAGACUCCUACGGGAGGCAGCAGUAAGGAAUUUUCCACAAUGGACGAAAGUCUGAUGGAGCAAUGCCGCGUGCAGGAUGACGCAUUUCGGUGUGUAAACUGCUUUUAACAAGGAAGAUUAUGACGGUACUUGUUGAAUAAGGAUCGGCUAACUACGUG
rnacentral:rRNA from 1 species